rnacentral:rRNA from 1 species
UACGAAGGGGGCUAGCGUUGUUCGGAAUUACUGGGCGUAAAGGGCUCGUAGGCGGCCAACUAAGUCAGACGUGAAAUCCCUCAGCUUAACUGGGGAACUGCGUCUGAUACUGGAUGGCUUGGAUUUGGGAGAGGGAUGCGGAAUUCCAGGUGUAGCGGUGAAAUGCGUAGAUAUCUGGAGGAACACCGGUGGCGAAGGCGGCAUCCUGGACCAAUAUUGACGCUGAGGAGCGAAAGCCAGGGGAGCAAACAGG